CAACAUGCCCAGGGGACGUGGAUAACCUCGGGAAACUGAGGAUAAACCGCGAUAAGUCACUACUUCUGGAAUGGGUAAUGACUUAAACCUAUAUGGCCCCUGGAUUGGACUGCGGCCGAUCAGGCUGUUGGUGAGGUAAUGGCCCACCAAACCUGUAACCGGUACGGGCUCUGAGAGGAGGAGCCCGGAGAUGGGCACUGAGACAAGGGCCCAGGCCCUAUGGGGCGCAGCAGGCGCGAAACCUCUGCAAUAGGCGAGAGCCUGACAGGGUUACUCUGAGUGAUUUCCGUUAAGGAGAUCUUUUGGCACCUCUAAAAAUGGUGCAGAAUAAGGGGUGGGCAAGUCUGGUGUCAGCCGCCGCGGUAAUACCAGCACCCC
rnacentral:rRNA from 1 species